GAUUUAAUGAUGCAUUCAUGCACAUCAAAUGUAUAAAUAUUC
rnacentral:snRNA from 1 species